AUGGAUGGAAGGCAGCUUCUUGUCACUGCAGAGACAUGGUACAGCUAUUCGUGCGUGGUCCGACAGAAUAGGAUUGUUAGAUGGUAUUCAAUAUUGAUUAUAUGUUACUGGGGCUCUGGUGGGGCUAAAAUUCUAUUGGUGAUUAUCCGCUUGGUUCGUUGUCUGGAUACAAUUAUGGAGCCUGCCGCACGGUCCUUGAUUAUUUGGAUAUUUGGUGAGUAUAGCUCUACUGGAAAUCUCAUCCCAAAGAUAGCUCCAGUUGUUCUUAAGUAUCUGGCAUGGUCCUUCGCUGCCGAAGUGCUGGAGACAAAGCUUCAGAUCCUAAAUGCUUCUGCAAAGGUUAUCAUACAUUCUGCACAAGAACAGCUAGAAGAAUUCAAAAUGAUAGUGGCAUAUGUCAUUCAGUUGGCUGCAUGUGACAUGAAUUAUGAUGUCCGUGACCGUGCACGUUUCUUGUCAGGACUUCUACCAUGCUGUGCUACUGAAAAUGACCCCUCAUGUCGAUCACAGAAUGUAGAUGUUAUUAAAGAGCUAGCUGAUCAUAUCUUUGGUGGGAAGAUACCUCCUGCAUCUAAUUCAGACAGCAACUACCGGAUUUAUCUUCUGGGUUCCCUGUCACAAGUUGUUCUUCAUGCAGCGCCUGGCUAUGCACCACUUCCGAAGCCUCAAAGUAUGAUCUUAAUUCAUAAGACCGUAGAACCAAUCAGAGGUGUAGCUGAUUCCUCCGAAGGUACUAAUUCUGAUGCUGAAUCUGGAUCUUCAAGGGAUGGGAGUGGCUCUGUGUAUGAUUCAGAAAGUGAAGCUGGUAGUGAUUCGAUCGAUGAUUGCCAUAACCUUCAUCGUCAAGAGGAGAACCAGGAAGCUCCGCUGAUUCAUAUGUAUGAUGGUAAUGUAGAUCAAGCAUAUGCCGGUCGAGCUGUUGAUGAAAAUUUGGCAUCUCUCAUCUCUACUGAUUUGACAGAAUUAAUGUCCAAGUCAGCCUUGGAGUCAUGGCUUGAUGAGGCUCCUGCUGCACCACUUGUUGUUCAAGAUUCGGUACAGACAUCAUGUGCAAGGGUUUCUUUUACCACUCGCAGCUUUGAGAGAAAACCUAAAUUGCAUAGGUUGUUAGAUCCAUCGGCUAGUGAUGCCUUGAGUGUUCUAUAUGCCUUCUCAUCUGAGGUUUCACCCAAAUCACACUUGCUAGUAUGUGUAGACUUGUUUGUCGAGAAUGUUACAACAGAACAAUUAGCAGAUAUAACCAUUAAAUCUGAAGAGGCUUCUGGUAGCAAGGGUGGCAUGGACCAAACAUCAGAAGGAUCCGCAAACAUACCAACUCUUGUCCCUGUUGAAGAGAUACAGUCACUGGCUCCUGAACAGACAGCUAAGAUGCUUCUUCAGGUUCACUUUCAUCACCAUCUAUUGCCCUUGAAGUUGUCUGUCCUUUGCAAUGGGAAAAGGCAUCCAGCCAAACUUCACCCGGACAUUGCUUAUUUUGUACGACCACUACCCAUGGAUCUAAAUGCUUUUCUAUGCAAGGAAAACCAGCUGAGGGGAAUGUUUGAGUACGCUAGAAGGUGCACCUUCAAAGAUCAUCUUCAGAAGCACGAGCAGACCGAAGAGAGUACAGACCACAACACCGACAAAAACCUUCUAGUAGCCCAAACUCUCGCAUCGAAAGUACUCAGCAACGCCAAUGUUCACCUAGUGUCAAUGGAUAUGCCCGUGACCUUCAGCAUCGACGACGCCUCCGGCUUGUGCUGGCGAUUCAGCAGCGAGAUCCUGAGCACUUCGAACCCCUGCCUGAUCACCAUCGUGGCGGACGGGCAUACCUCGGAACCACUGGAUCUCACCGUCAAGGUGAACUCUGAAGACACGGCGUUCGGACUGAACCUCAUGAACAGAAUCGUGGCGAUCAUAGAGUGA
rnacentral:rRNA from 1 species